CUUGGCGACCAUAGCGUUUUGGACCCACCUUACUCCAUUCCGUCCUCAGAAGUGAAGAGAAAUAGCGCCGAUGGUAGUGUGGGGCUUCCCCAUGUGAGAGUAGGACAUCGCCAGGC
rnacentral:rRNA from 1 species